AAGACUGGGAUAAACACCGGGAAACCGGUGCUAAUACCGGAUACCCCCACCAGGCCGCAUGACCAGGUGAGGAAAUGAAUUUCGCUUUGGGAGGGGCUCGCGGGCUAUCAGCUUGGUUGGUGGGGUAACGGCCUACCAAGGCGACGACGGCUAGCUGGUCUGAGAGGACGACCAGCCACACUGGGACUGAGACACGGCCCAG
rnacentral:rRNA from 1 species